GUAGGGAAUAUUGGGCAAUGGAUGCAAGUCUGACCCAGCCAUCCCGCGUGCCGGAAGAAGGCCCUCAGGGUUGUAAACGGCUUUUGACGGUGAAGAAUCGACAGGAUGCGUCCUGUUUUGACGGUAGCCGUUGAAUAAGCACCGGCUAACUCCGUGCCAGCAGCCGCGGUAAUACGGAGGGUGCGAGCGUUGUCCGGAUUUAUUGGGUUUAAAGGGUGCGUAGGCUGGAAGGUCAGUCAGCGGUGAAAAGCUGUCGCUUAACGAUAGUCUUGCCGCAGAUACUUCCUUUCUUGGAUGAGGAGGGGGGCACUGGAACGGAUGGUGUAGCGGUGAAAUGCAUAGAUAUCAUCCAGAACACCGAUUGCGAAGGCAGGUGGCUGUACCUUAAUCGACGCUGAUGCACGAAAGCAUGGGGAGCAAACAGGAUUAGAAACCCGAGUAGUCC
rnacentral:rRNA from 1 species